AUAUAGUUCACACCUCUGAUUGCUGUGAAUGUUUGGCUGGAGACAGUUUUCUGCAAGGCUGGAUAUGAUCCCUCCCAAGUCUUGCUGUCCAGUUCAUAAUAGCUAUGACACUCAAAAAUGUAUUCUUUGGUGGAACGGCUACUUCCCGUUUCCCUGGAGCAGUGGGAGUGACUGAAUAUUGGAUUUGAAUGGCUGCAGUCUCAUCCCAAUUGCAACAGAUAUCUUUGGCUGGCUUAUGGUUUGAAAUACAAGUUUCCAUGGGGAUUUGAUUGAAAUGGAUGCUGAUCCUACUUAGCUCAUAAAUCAGAAACUUCUAAACCAUGCUUGUUUUUUAGUGCACAAGGACAUUUUUUUGAAGAAGGAUGUAGCUCUUUCGCUUGUCAAUCAAAUGCGUAUUUGCAAACACUGAGCUUGGGUCUGACAAAGCAAGGACUUGUGGGUUGAACAGACUUGCUGUGGUCGUUAAACACUGGGAAGAAAAGGUGACUGAUGAGGCCAGACAAAAAUUAGUAUGAGCAAUUUCAAGACAAAUAUGAGUCGCCCUUUCCCCCCAACCAUGUUCUGUAGCUAUUUUGUGUGGCAUGUUGUGACUUAAAUAAUAGCAUAUUGUUUUCUAAAUUAAAAUAAAAAAGCUGAAUAGGAGAGGGAUUAUAAAAAGCAUGUAUACGUCCGACAGAAAUAACCCUUUGCAUAUUCCAGACAUGUUUACUUGUGCUUAGUCCAUAUUGUAAAGAGAGUUAGCCAUUUGUAAUGAAUGGAGAAGAGCAAGCGAGGGGCGUAAUGUUCGGUCAAUAAUCUAGUGAUGGAACACGUUUAAUAAACUCCUGACCUCUCUGGCCUUAUCCUGC